rnacentral:rRNA from 1 species
CGUAGGAGGCAAGCGUUAUCCGGAUUCACUGGGCGUAAAGCGCGUGCAGGUGGCGCGGUAAGUUGGGUGUGAAAUCUCCCGGCUCAACUGGGAGAGGUCAUUCAAUACUACCGUGCUUGAGAGCAGAAGAGGAAGAUGGAAUUCCCGGUGUAGUGGUGAAAUGCGUGGAUAUCGGGAGGAACACCAGAGGCGAAGGCGAUCUUCUGGUCUGUUUCUGACACUCAGACGCGACAGCUAGGGUAGUAAACGGGAUUAGAGACCCCGGUAAUCCUAGCCGUAAACGAUGUGAACUUGGCGUUGGUGGGUUAAACUCCAUCAGUGCCGUAGCAAACGCGAUAAGUUCACCGCCUGGGGACUACGGCCGCAAGGUUA